rnacentral:rRNA from 1 species
UACGUAGGGUGCGAGCGUUGUCCGGAAUUAUUGGGCGUAAAGAGCUUGUAGGCGGUUUGUCGCGUCUGCUGUGAAAAAUCCGGGGCUCAACCCCGGACUUGCAGUGGGUACGGGCAGACUAGAGUGUGGUAGGGGGAGACUGGAAUUCCCUGGUGUAGCGGUGGAAUGCGCAGAUAUCAGGAGGAACACCGAUGGCGAAGGCAGGUCUCUGGGCCACUACUGACG